GACGAACGCUGGCGGCGUGCUUAACACAUGCAAGUCGAACGGAAAGGCCCUGCUUUUGUGGGGUGCUCGAGUGGCGAACGGGUGAGUAACACGUGAGUAACCUGCCCUUGACUUUGGGAUAACUUCAGGAAACUGGGGCUAAUACCGGAUAGGAGCUCCUGCUGCAUGGUGGGGGUUGGAAAGUGUCGGCGGUUGGGGAUGGACUCGCGGCUUAUCAGCUUGUUGGUGGGGUAGUGGCUUACCAAGGCUUUGACGGGUAGCCGGCCUGAGAGGGUGACCGGCCACAUGGGGACUGCGAUACGGCCCAGACUCCUACGGGAGGCAGCAGUGGGGAAUAUUGCACAAUGGGCGGAAGCCUGAUGCAGCAACGCCGCGUUCGGGAUGACGGCCUUCGGGUUGUAAACCGCUUUCGCCUGUGACGAAGCGUGAGUGACGGUAAUGGGUAAAGAAGCACCGGCUAACUACGUG
rnacentral:rRNA from 1 species